rnacentral:rRNA from 1 species
GACGAACGCUGGCGGCGUGCCUAACACAUGCAAGUCGAACGAAAAUACCAAAGCAGCAAUGCGGGGGUAUUUUAGUGGCGGACGGGUGAGUAACGCGUGAGCAAUCUGCCUUUUGGAGGGGGAUACCGACUGGAAACGGUCGUUAAUACCGCAUAACGUAUAUGGACGACAUCGUCCGUAUACCAAAGGAGCAAUCCGCCGAAAGAUGAGCUCGCGUCUGAUUAGCUAGUUGGCGGGGUAAAGGCCCACCAAGGCGACGAUCAGUAGCCGGACUGAGAGGUUGAACGGCCACAUUGGGACUGAGAUACGGCCCAGACUCCUACGGGAGGCAGCAGUGGGGAAUAUUGGGCAAUGGGCGAAAGCCUGACCCAGCAACGCCGCGUGAAGGAAGAAGGCCUUCGGGUUGUAAACUUCUUUGACCAGGGAAGAAGAAGUGACGGUACCUGGAAAACAAGCCACGGCUAACUACGUG